CCGAGAGUAAUAUGAGUGGAAGGUUUGCGCUGACAACAAUGAAUUCUGUAUUGGAUAACAAUAACUUGAGGGUGUUUAUCAACGCAGAUCGUCACCACUGGGCCUUUCCUGCGAUCCUUUUAGUGAAUGUUGCCCUUGACUUGCUGUCCGUCACGUUUCGUUCAAUUCUCGCUCUAGCGUGUGUAGUAGUACAUCGGUAGCACAUCAGUAGCAUUUUGGAAGACUUAACAUGUACAUGCGGUUGCUGUCCUAUAACAUCCGUUGUUGUGAACUUUAUACAUCACUGUUAUACAUUUAAAAAAAUUAAUUAGAAAAUUUUGAGACUUUAACUGUUUCUAGACAGGUAUAUAUCCACAGCAGAGACUGGAAAACUGUUCAUAUUUUCUUUAAUCAACUAUCAGGAACACUUUUUUCUUUGCAUUUUAUUUAAGUAGUACUUUGUCUUUUCAGUAAAAUAAUUACAAAGCAAAUGUGACUGGCGACAUUUUAUGGAGGAAUUGCACAUCAAGUGUGUGAUUUAAUUAAGACUUGAGUCAGAACAAUGAGAGAAAUUAAAACGGUGGUGAAGUUUAGAAAGAAGCUAUAGAGACCAAUCUGGAUCCCUCCGUGCUGUUUUCCCUCUACUUCCAAGUGACAAACAACACAAAAUGCUGCCACGUCACACACAAUACACCAACAUAAGGCAACAUGCUUACAAUAGCUUUACAAUUUCCUGGACUUACUGCCACUGCUACCAUCAAUCUUUGAGCUUUGCUUUUUUAAUCAUGAAACUGCAUGGCACAUGGCAGUUGGCAAUAACCAUUCAAGCAAAAUGGUAUGACAAAUGUAAACAGACACAUUAAACAUCACAUGUCAGCUGAAUUUACUGAUCUUUCAAAAUAUUUUUAAUUUUUGUCUGUUAGAAAUUUUGACAAUUAUGUAAAACAUUACAAUUUUGGAGAGAUAUCUUCUGGGAAUGGGAAGUUUACAUAACGCUUCCCUGUUCCCUGCAAAGAAAAUAGUUAAUGCCUAAAAAAUAUAAAUCAUAUCAUGUCUAUAUCGCCUAUUUCUCAAGAAGAAAAUUUGUUUUCCCUAUCUCUACAGGCUGAACCCCUCAUUUCAUGGCAUACCCAAAAAGAUCGAACACAAGCAACAGAGUUGUAAUUAAAUGUUUUUCAUAAUUUGCCAGUUUCUUUGGUUGUUUUUGUCUUUCAGACACAUGAAUAGUACUCAGGUGGCAGUGACUCCCACCAACAGCUGCCUUCAUAAUCUCUGCUUCAAAUAACUGUGCAUACCCAAACCCCAACAACUUGUUAGAUUAUCUCUCUUUUUCUCUUAUCUAGAUACAUAGAAAUGAACAAUGUAAUUAGCAAUAAUAAAAAAAAAAUCUGUAAGCCUCUGGCUGCUGAGUUAAUUCUAAGAUCACAAAUACUUUAUUCAGAAUGUCUCCUUGUGUGCUCUUUAAGUAACCCUACAUUACUUUGAAUUUCAGAGCUUAAUGGAAAAAAAGGUCUUGAAGUGUUCAGCAUUCAAGGAACUCACUCAUUAUCUAUCUGAAGACAAAUAUUAUUUUACCAUGCACUAAAAAUUAAAACUGACCACAUCUAGUUAAGUAAAGGCUAGCCUGAGUGCAAAAUUCUUUUCAAGUGAGCUUACUUUAUUAUGAUACUAAUUCCCAAAUUUACCACAUUUCCCAUGUGAUAUUUUUGAAACAAACUAAUAAAGACUGCCCAUAUGUUCUUCUAGACUGCCGGUAACUAUGAACUUUAUUCACGUUGGGCUUAGGUUAGCCUUUAACAGAAGCCAAGUCUAUCAAGAUGGACAAACAGGAUUUGUUACUUUAGCCAAUCUGAGCACAACAUCAACAGAAAGGAAUGUUACUAAUUCCAAGAAAGGUAGUUAUAAUGGCAGCACAAUGUUAAAGCUAUUAAGUAGGCGUCAUGAAAGGUAAAAGCCACAAAAAAGAUAUUACAAAAUCAUUGCAUCAGGAAAGAUUCUUGUAAAAGCCACAAAAAAUUCAUUAGAGAUUCAUAUUUAUAGACCAAAGACCUGUGAAAGCAAUUUAACCAUAAAUCAAUAACUCUGUGAUAAAGUCUAUAUCAUCUUCAAUCACAUCUUCAUGAUACUCUGCAAAAGAUCUUUUUAAAUAUUUUAUGCAAAAAGCAUAAUUCACAUCACCAGGUUCACACUCUGCUUAUAAAUACAACCAAGGAACAUCUUAAAUCUGUGAAAAUAUAAUAAACUGUCAUAUUUGCAACAGUGAAAAUUGUGGGAACAUCUGGGCAUUUCUAAUAAUGUCACAUGCUUAGCAAUUGUUUAACUAUGAGCACUGCUAAGCGAUUUUAAACAUGUGCUGAAGAUAUCUGAACUCCACACACAGAGGUCAAAUAUUAACUAGGUAUAAAAUGUGAUCAAGUGUCAAAAUUACCAAUUGUUUAAUUUUUGAGCUUUUUUGGAAGAUUAUUUCAUGAAUGUUUAUCAAUAUCUUUGUUCCCUUAAGCUGAAAAUAAUUAUAUUGUUCAGCUACUUCAUACCAUUCAUUAGUGAAUCUUGCAGUACUAGUCAAGCAACCAUACCAUGAACUAAUUUAACAAAUAAUAAAACAAACUAAUCAAUACACGUCCAUGAUCAUAUUGUUUUUUGUCACACAUCCUCUAUUAUAAGAAUGUGCUAAAGUUUUUGGGAAAAAAUUUUCAAAUAUUGAUGUCUCAUUGCAAAAACUUUUUGACUAACUUAAUUACAGAGUAAAAGUUAUUAUUUAAAGAAAAAUCCGGGUUUCUACUUCAAAGUCAAAAUCCAGUUAUGAGUAUCUGGCUAGAAAAGUCCAUUUAACAAAUGAAAGUGGCCACUUGAAUGCUAUGUUUGCCACUAAAGGUACCUUCCAAACAAUGUCAUAAACAACAGGAUAACAGCAGCUCUGUCAUUCAUGACCACCACCACCCAGUGAAAGGUCACUAGCCUUUCAACAUGGUUUCCAUCCCAUCAACCACUGAAGUAAAGUUCAUUGUUAUGACUGCAAAAAAUAAUGAGUGAGAGAAAGAUAACCAAUAAUUACUUGAGAUAUAUAGCUUAAUGAACCCAUUUUAGUCAUAAACAUCUUCAAGAAU